CAAGGAAUUUUCCGCAAUGGGCGAAAGCCUGACGGAGCAACGCCGCGUGGGGGAUGAAGCUUUUCGGAGUGUAAACCCCUUUUCUUGGGGACGAAGCAGUGACGGUACCCGAGGAAUAAGGACCGGCUAACUACGUGCCAGCAGCCGCGGUAAUACGUAGGGUCCAAGCGUUGUCCGGAGUUACUGGGCGUAAAGCGCGCGCAGGUGGCUGCAUAAGUCCGGCGUGAAAGCCCCCGGCUCAACCGGGGAGGGUCGUUGGAGACUGUGUGGCUUGAGGGCGGCAGGGGCAGGUGGAAUUCCCGGUGUAGUGGUGAAAUGCGUAGAGAUCGGGAGGAACACCCGUGGCGAAGGCGGCCUGCUGGGCCGACCCUGACACUGAGGCGCGAAGGCGUGGGGAGCG
rnacentral:rRNA from 1 species